GAUGAACGCUGGCGGCGUGCCUAAUACAUGCAAGUCGAGCGAACGGACGAGAGGCUUGCUUCUCUGAUGUUAGCGGCGCACGGGUGAGUAACACGUGGAUAACCUCCCUAUCAGACUGGGAUAACUUCGGGACACCGGCGCUUAUACCGGAUAAUAUCUUGAACCGCAUGGUUCAAAAGUGAAAGACGGUCUUGCUGUCACUUAUAGAUGGAUCCGCGCUGCAUUAGCUAGUUGGUAAGGUAACGGCUUACCAAGGCAACGAUGCAUAGCCGACCUGAGAGCGUGUACGCCCACACUGGAGCUGAGCCGCGGUCCUGGCUCCUACGUGAGGCAGCAGUACCGAAUCGUCCGCAAUGUGGGGAAGCCUGACGGAGCAACGCCGCGUGGGUGAUGAGGGUCUUCGGGUCGUAAAACGCUGUUAUGAUUGAAGAACAUAUGUGUAAGUAACUGUGCACAUCGUGACGGUACCUAAUCAGAAAGCCACGGCUAACUACGUG
rnacentral:rRNA from 1 species